GUGCUCACUCCGGUAGCACAUAUACUGAAAUUGGAAUGAUACAUGAUUAGCAUGCCCCCACUCCACACAGGGAAACACGAAAACUCUUU
rnacentral:snRNA from 1 species